AUACGGAGGGUGCAAGCGUUGUUCGGAAUCACUGGGCGUAAAGGGCGCGCAGGCGGUUUGGUAAGUCAGAUGUGAAAGCCCACGGCUCAACCGUGGAAGUGCAUUUGAAACUGUCAGACUUGAGUACUAGAGGGGAAAGUGGAAUUCCCGGUGUAGAGGUGAAAUUCGUAGAUAUCGGGAGGAAUACCGGUGGCGAAGGCGACUUUCUGGCUAGAUACUGACGCUGAGGCGCGAAAGCGUGGGGGGCAAACAGGAUUAGAAACCCUAGUAGUCC
rnacentral:rRNA from 1 species